rnacentral:lncRNA from 1 species
CUUCCCACCACACGUAUUUCCCUCCUUAAAGAGUUUAAAAGUCAAUUGUAUAAUCUAACUCUGGCUACCUGUUUGGGACCCCUUCCAUGCUGUGGAAACUUUGUACUUCCACUCUGCUCAAUAAGGCCUACAGCCUUUUCUCUCUAUCGGUCCGUGUCUCUAUCACUUGCCAUGGUCAUCGCCACUCCAAUUCUUUGGCAUGGCUAGGCAAGAACCUUAAGCAUUACAUUUUGGUGAGCCAGCCAGGAGACUCCAGGAAAUGCAUCUAGAUUGUCACAUGUUAAAGUGGCAGGACUGGAAUCCUGGAUUCACCACACCUGAGUUAAACCUUAGACACCUCCUGAGGAACUUAGAGGAUCAUCAUCUCAGGAGUCACAAGGUCAGCCAGACCAGCCUCGAUACACCUGUCAGCCACUAGAGGACCUGCAACUCCUAUUUCGGAAGGAAACAUCUCAGACCAGAAAAACUCCUGCAGUUAAUCCUGAAGAGGAACUUCUCCCUACAUAAAAGAGGAUAAGAUCGAGGCCAUCAAGCUACAACUGGUCUUACAAAUGGAACCUCAAAUGAGCUCAACCCAUGGCUUCUACUGAGGACCCCUGGAUUGACCCGCUGGUCCCUCAUCUAGCCUAGAAAGUUCCCCUCUGGAGGACACCACAAUUGCAGGGCCCCUUCUUUGCCCCUAACCAGCAGGAAGUAGCCAGAACCACCACUGCCCAGUUCCCAACAGCAGUUGGGGUGUCUGUUUAGAGGGGGGACUGAGAGGAGAGGCUAGCUGGGCUUCCUGGGUUGAGUAGGGGCUUAGAAAGCUGUGAAACUCACUCAUUUCCUACAUCAGGACUUGCUUCAGUCCUGGAUGAAUAAUAUUGAAGAUAUAUGCUUAAACUAUUCCUAACAUCAGGAUUUGUGCAUGUGUUGUCUUCCCCAAGAAAGCUAUAAACAAUGAAAAUUUUGCUGUAAGUUUCCCUGUGCCCUGUCUGCCUCUCUCCCUUUCCUCUACCCCAAAACUAAAGUAAAAGGAAUGUUAACUGCCCAUUUUUCUGUGACCAGAAGACCUUAUCUAUGCUCCCAAUUCCAAUUCCUUAUAAACAUACUUUGUAAAGUCCUGUAAGAUCCUGUCUCCUUUGCCAUGCUGCUGCAAGGUCAUAAAAUAGAUAAAACCGAAGUUGCAAUUCCAGUUUUCCUCAAGAUCUAAGACAUGUCACAAAUGUUUAAUUGUCUUUGUUUCCUGCUCUGGUAACAUCUUCCUGCUGCACAUAUUUCCUGCCUUAAAGAGUUUAAAAGGCAAUUGUGUAAUUUAACUCUGGCCCGUGCAGGACCCCUUCCAUGCUGUGGAAGCUUUAUACUUUCACUCUGCUCAAUAAAGCCUACAGCUUUUUCUCUCU